GGUCGGGAUAGCUCAGUUGGUAGAGCAGAGGA
rnacentral:tRNA from 1 species